UCCCUGGUGGUCCAGUGGUCUGAACAUAGGACUCCAUCUUCUCACUGCCGAGGGCACAGGUUCAAUCCCUGGUCAGGGAA
rnacentral:tRNA from 1 species